rnacentral:rRNA from 1 species
GUGCCAGCAGCCGCGGUAAGACGUAGGGGGCGAGCGUUGUCCGGAUUUAUUGGGCGUAAAGAGCGCGUAGGCGGCCCGGAAAGUCGGAUGUGAAAACCCGGGGCUCAACCCCGGGCCUGCAUCCGAUACUCCUGGGCUGGAGGCAGGUAGGGGAGAUCGGAAUUCCUGGUGUAGCGGUGAAAUGCGCAGAUAUCAGGAGGAACACCGGUGGCGAAGGCGGAUCUCUGGGCCUGUCCUGACGCUGAGGCGCGAAAGCUAGGGGAGCGAACAGGAUUAGAUACCCGGGUAGUCC